rnacentral:rRNA from 1 species
GACGAACGCUGGCGGCGUGCUUAACACAUGCAAGUCGAACGAAGUGGCGAACGGGUGAGUAAUACGUGGGUAACCUGCCCUCCUGUGGGGGAUAAGCUCUGGAAACGGGGGCUAAUACCGAAUAGAGGGGGAUGGGCGCGCGGCCUAUCGGGUUGUUGGUGGGGGGCGGGCCGACCAAGGCGGGGACGGGUAGUCGGCCUGAGAGGGUGACCGGGAACGUUGGGACGCAGAUACGGCCCAGACACCCACGGGUGGCAGCAGUGCGGGAUUGUGCCCAAUGCGCGCAAGCCUGCUCCAGCGACGCCGCGUGGGGGAUGAAGGCUUACGGCUUUUAAACCUCUUUCGCUCUCGAACGGGUAGGUGGAGAAGAAGCGCCGGCUAACUACGUGCCAGCAGCCGCGGUAAUUC